rnacentral:rRNA from 1 species
UACGUAGGGUGCGAGCGUUAAUCGGAAUUACUGGGCGUAAAGCGUGCGCAGGCGGUUCUCCAAGUCCGUUGUGAAAGCCCCGGGCUUAACCUGGGAAUGGCGUUUGUAACUGGCAAGCUAGAGUGUGUCAGAGGGAGGUAGAAUUCCACGUGUAGCAGUGAAAUGCGUAGAGAUGUGGAGGAAUACCGAUGGCGAAGGCAGCCUCCUGGGAUAACACUGACGCUCAUGCACGAAAGCGUGGGGAGCAAACAGG